UACGAAGGGGGCUAGCGUUGCUCGGAAUUACUGGGCGUAAAGCGCACGUAGGCGGUCUUUUAAGUCGGGGGUGAAAUCCUGGAGCUCAACUCCAGAACUGCCUUCGAUACUGGAAGACUUGAGUCCGGGAGAGGUGAGUGGAACUGCGAGUGUAGAGGUGAAAUUCGUAGAUAUCCGCAAGAACACCAGUGGCGAAGGCGGCUCACUGGCCCGGUACUGACGCUGAGGUGCGAAAGCGUGGGGAGCAAACAGG
rnacentral:rRNA from 1 species